rnacentral:rRNA from 1 species
GACGAACGCUGGCGGCGUGCCUAAUACAUGCAAGUAGGACGCAGUUGCGAACGGGUGAGUAACGCGUAGCUAACUGCCUAUUAGAGGGGGAUAACUAUUGGAAACGAUAGCUAAUAUCGCAUACUAGUAGAUGGACCUGCGUUGUAUUAGCUAGUAGGUAGGGUAAUGGCCUAACUAGGCGACGAUACAUAGCCGACCUGGGCGGGGGAUCGGCCCCACUGGGGAUUAGGAAAGGCCCAGACUCCUACGGGAGGCAGCAGUAAGGAAACUUCGGCAAAGGGGGGAAAGCUGGCCGGGCAACGCCGCGGGAGGUGAGGAGGUUUUCGGGACGUAAAGCUCUGUUGUUAAGAGAACGGUACUUAACCAGAAAGGGACGGCUAACUACGUGCCAGCAGCCGCGGUAAUAC